rnacentral:tRNA from 1 species
ACCGGUGUAACUCAGUGGCCAGAGUGCCUCUUUUACACGGAGGAAGUCGUCGGUUCAACUCCGGCCACCGGUACCA